GACGAACGCUGGCGGCGCGCUUAACACAUGCAAGUCGAACGGUGAACCGGGCUUCGGCCCGGGGAUCAGUGGCGAACGGGUGCGUAACACGUGGGCAACCUGCCCCUCACUCUGGGAUAACCCCGGGAAACCGGAGCUAAUACCGGAUACUCCGACCGGUCCGCAUGGUCUGGGCGGGAAAGGUCCGCCGGUGAGGGAUGGGCCCGCGGCCUAUCAGCUUGUUGGUGAGGUAACGGCUCACCAAGGCGACGACGGGUAGCUGGUCUGAGAGGGCGACCAGCCACACCGGGACUGAGAUACGGCCCAGACUCAUACGGGAGGCAGCAGUGGGGAAUCUUGCGCAAUGGGCGAAAGCCUGACGCAGCGACGCCGCGUGGGGGAUGACGGCCCUCGGGUUGUAAACCCCUUUCGGCAGGGACGAAGCGAUCGUGAAGGUACCUGCAGAAGAAGCCUCGGCUAACUACGUGCCAGCAGCCGCGGUAACAC
rnacentral:rRNA from 1 species